CUAAAUUGAGUAUAUUACAUAAUUAGAACUGUAAAUAUCAGAUUUAAUUACUGAAAUGUGUGAUUUCAACUCUUAUAAGCACUAACUAAUCCAUGGCAAUUUAUUUGUGGCGUUAUAAUAUUAACACAGAAGGUGGGCUGAAAGAAAGUAAAUAAUUGUAGAUGAAUUCCAAAGAAUAAAGAUUGUCACUAGCAAAAAAGAAAGCCCGAGUGAAGAGUAGAAUAAAGUUGGAAUAUAAUGUGCAGCGAAGCACUGGUAGGAAAAUGCAAAUGGAAGUGACAUGCAUAAUUUAUAGCAAUGUUCUGAAAACCGGUUCGAACCGGUCGGUCGAACCGUAAACCGGACACUGAAGCGGUUCGGUCAACAAAGAAAACCGCAGAAUUUGAUAACCGACAUUGAACCGACGAACCGGCCGAUUACCGGUCGGUCGAACCGAACCGGGACCCGGCCGGUUUUUUAAGCUGGCAGCAAAACGUCGUCGUUUUGCAAUGUGGGAACCCUAAUUCCCUUUUCUCCUUCGUCACUUCGUGCUUCGCCUUCACUCCAACCUCCAGCCUCCAGCGUCCCACAGCAUAACACCGACGAGGCCACGAGGCCACGACCCACCGGCCACCACUGUGAGAGACAGAACGCCUGAAUCCUAAAUCACGAAAACUCCCAAGGCUGAGACUGAGAUCCCUAAUUGGCUUCGCUGCUCUCUCUGCUUCAGUGGUUCCCAUUGUUGAUGAUUCUUCUUCGAGCAAGCUUGCUUCAUUGAAGUUACUAGCGUCACCGCGUCACACGGGUCGAGGACUCGCCGUCGAGACACCGCCGUCGCGCCACCUAGAGCCAUCGAGAACUGAGAAGUGAGAACGCCUCACUCUCACACGGGUCGAGCCACCGCUGUCGAGCCACCGCAACAGCCGUGGAGAACUGAGAAGGUGCCUUCGCUGUCUCCCACCACCUCACUCUCACUCUCUCUUCCCCCAUCUCUGCUUCUUCUCUGUCUUCCAGAUGCAGGUCGAGAGGCACCUCGCUAGGCAUCUGGAGUUCUCUACAGCAAAGUGAGCUUUGUGAAUUUGAUAUUUUGUUCCAUUUUGUUAUAUCUAUAUGUAUAGUCUCUCCCUAUGUGUAUAUAUGCUUUACUGUUGCACCUCAUAGAGGUUUAUGCAGAACUAGGAUUACUUUUAUAUAUUUUGGGUUAUGGUUCCUUAUAUGUAUAUUUAUGACUAUUAUCUGGCUAGCUUUAGCUUCGCAGGCUAAGUUCAAAGCUCGAUAUUUUGUACUCUUGA